UGUAACAAUCAUAGAAUCUGAUAAAAUUGGAACGAUACAGAGAAGAUUAGCAUGGCCCACUAGUGAGGUGCCACACUUAUCCUCUUUUCUUUAUUUUCUUUU
rfam:Beta vulgaris subsp. vulgaris chromosome 6, whole genome shotgun sequence.